rnacentral:lncRNA from 1 species
GUUAGUGAGCCCCGUUGGAGAAAAUCACACGACUCACCACACCAGUGCCCCCUCAUUCCACCUGGUCCCUCAGCCACGCUGUCCUGUAAUCUCUACCCAAAAUGAGGCUCAAAGUCACAACCCCGAGAUGCUCCCCUGACUGAGCCAGCCAGGUGGCCCUGACUAAGCACGUUGGGCGGAGCCACUCCUUAGACCAUGAGAAACAGAAGCAUUUCCUUGCACCAGGCAGUGUUCUGGAACUUCAGCUACAUGAACCAUUUCAGAACCACAGCAACCCUCAGAGCAGGCACCCGGCUCCUGAGCGGUCCAGCCCGUCUGUGCCCGAACACCACAAAGGCACCCCACACUAGCCAGCUUCAUGCAUUGGCAGAACACAGCAAGGGCAAGAGCAGAAGACCGAGCCUCGUGUGA